rnacentral:rRNA from 1 species
UACGAAGGGAGCUAGCGUUGUUCGGAAUUACUGGGCGUAAAGGGCGCGUAGGCGGCCUUCUAAGUCGGACGUGAAAGCCCCAGGCUUAACCUGGGAACUGCGUCCGAUACUGGGAGGCUUGGAUUCGGGAGAGGGAUGUGGAAUUCCAGGUGUAGCGGUGAAAUGCGUAGAUAUCUGGAGGAACACCGGUGGCGAAGGCGGCAUCCUGGACCGAGAUCGACGCUGAGGCACGAAGGUCAGGGGAGCAACGGGAGUAGAAACCCUGUAGA